rfam:Gossypium raimondii Chr05_contig_1355, whole genome shotgun sequence.
UAUUAAAAUUUUUAUCCAUUUCUACUAUGAAAAACUAGUGUAAUUGACAAAAUAACUAAAUAGUUCAACGUGAAGUGUAACUAUACCUCAUGUUGAGAUACAAGAUCAGUUUUUAAUAGUAAAAAUGGAUGAAAAUUUGUAUA